rfam:Helicobacteraceae bacterium CG1_02_36_14 cg1_0.2_scaffold_1918_c, whole genome shotgun sequence.
UCUUUAGACCUGUGCAAUGGUAGUUAGAGAUAAUGUGUCAGGGUAGGAAUACAGCAGCACACCUUUAGCAAUUAUGUGCCGCAGGUAUCUGGAGAAGG